rnacentral:rRNA from 1 species
GACGAACGCUGGCGGCGUGCUUAACACAUGCAAGUCGAGCGGAGCGGCGAACGGGUGAGUAACGCGUGAGUAACUGCCCCCCUCUCUGGGAUAACAGUUGGAAACGGCUGCUAAUACCUGAUAGUGGGGGAUGACUCGCGUCCUAUCAGCUUGUUGGUGGGGUAGUGGCCUACCAAGGCGACGACGGGUAGCCGGCCUGAGAGGGCGACCGGCCACAUGGAGAUGAGAUACGACCCAAACGCCUACGGGAGGCAGCAGGGGGGAAUAUUGCACAACGGGGGAAACCCUGCUGCAGCAACGACGGGUGCGGGAUGACGGCCUUCGGGUUGUAAGCCGCUUUAAGCCAUGACGCGGUAGUGGCAGAAGAAGCACCGGCUAACUACGUGCCAGCAGCCGCGGUAAUAC